rnacentral:rRNA from 1 species
CACGCCCUAAACGAUGUUCAUUAGCUAUUCGGAGUAUCGACCCUCUGAGUGGCGUAGCUAACGCGUUAAAUGAACCGCCUGGGAAGUACGGCCGCAAGGCUAAAACUCAAAGGAAUAGACGGGGACUUGCACAAGCGGUGGAUGAUGUGGUUUAAUUCGACGAUUCACGAAGAACCUUACCAGGGUUAGAAAUCAAGACGAAGAUAGCCAGAAACGGUUAUCGCCUUCGGGCGGCUUGACAGGUGU